rfam:Drosophila simulans strain MD106TS Cont329.1, whole genome shotgun sequence.
ACUUCUUUUUAUUUAUUUCUGUUUUUAAAACUACGAUUAAGAAUCAGCUGUAUGCGUGGUGUCUUGUGAUCAGCUCAUUAAGCCCACUUAGUUAUGCUACGCUGUAUUUGUGACUAAACUCGGGUGGUGGUUUGGGUAUUUUGGCAAUAAGAAAACUAGUUUCAGUCAAGGACAUUAACUUUGGCUACGUUGGUCUAACCGAAUACGGACAAUACUAAUGGAUUCAGAAGAGCUUUUGCAAGUCAGAGUUUGAAAUGAAGUUGUGUUACAAACAAUCGAAACAUUGAUGGAAUCGAUUCCGGAUUAUACUGCAAGCAUAUUAUUAUGCAAUCUCAUUUUCUUUAAAACAUGAUCAAUGAAUAAAAAGAAACUGUUCACAUAAUGCAAACCACUUAACU